CAUCCCAGUGGGCCCAGGGGGCAUACAAACUGCGAAGGCCAGCAGACCAUUUCAGUUAAAUGUGAAAACAUCUUGAAAGACUCACGAGACAGUCACUUGGACUCCAGUCUCUCUCUCUCUCUCUCUCUCUCUCUCUCUCUCUCUCUCUCUCUCUCUUUCUCUCUCUCUCCUUUCCUUUCUUCUUUCUUUUCCGUCCUUCAUUUCUUCCUUCCUGUAUUUAUUUAUUUAUUUAUUGGGGGUUUUUUUUGUGUGUUUUUUUUGAAACAGGCGUAGUCUAGUCCUCAGACCUACAGAGAUCCACUUGCCUCUACCUCCUGACUAUGAUUACAGGCAUGCACCACCAGGCUGGGUGAAAUUUACAUUUUCCAGACAACUGAAGUGUUUGAGGAAGUCCGAUCCACCAGCAGAGCGGGAUCUGUCCCUGCAUAGAGAGGAAACCAACGCCCUGAUGUCCCCUGGAAUCUCCUCGGCAGCCAGAGAUGCAAAACUCCAUCCGCUGGCUGUCCAUUCCUCAGGAUGUCCUACUCUUGGGGAACUUGCAGGACAGCCUGCGGCCAACAUGUGACCUACAGCAGGUCCUUGCAAUGACUUAA